rnacentral:rRNA from 1 species
UGGGGAAUAUUGCACAAUGGGCGAAAGCCUGAUGCAGCGACGCCGCGUGAGGGAUGACUGCCUUCGGGUUGUAAACCUCUUUCAGCUCCGACGAAGCGAAAGUGACGGUAGGAGCAGAAGAAGCACCGGCCAACUACGUGCCAGCAGCCGCGGUAAUACGUAGGGUGCAAGCGUUGUCCGGAAUUAUUGGGCGUAAAGAGCUCGUAGGCGGCUUGUCGCGUCGGCUGUGAAAACCUGGGGCUCAACCCCGGGCCUGCAGCCGAUACGGGCAAGCUAGAGUUCGGUAGGGGAGACUGGAAUUCCUGGUGUAGCGGUGAAAUGCGCAGAUAUCAGGAGGAACACCGGUGGCGAAGGCGGGUCUCUGGGCCGAUACUGACGCUGAGGAGCGAAAGCGUGGGGAGCAAACA